GGCUGGAUGGCCGAGCGGUCUAAGGCGCCAGAAUCAGGUCAUUCACAGUUGUGCUGAUACUAUAUCUGGUCCUCCGGGGCGUGGGUUCGAAUCCCACUCCAGUCA